AUUGAACGCUGGCGGCAUGCCUUACACAUGCAAGUCGAACGGCAGCAUGAUCUAGCUUGCUAGAUUGAUGGCGAGUGGCGAACGGGUGAGUAAUACAUCGGAACGUGCCCUGUAGUGGGGGAUAACUAGUCGAAAGAUUAGCUAAUACCGCAUACGACCUGAGGGUGAAAGUGGGGGACCGCAAGGCCUCAUGCUAUAGGAGCGGCCGAUGUCUGAUUAGCUAGUUGGUGAGGUAAAGGCUCACCAAGGCGACGAUCAGUAGCUGGUCUGAGAGGACGAUCAGCCACACUGGGACUGAGACACGGCCCAGACUCCUACGGGAGGCAGCAGUGGGGAAUUUUGGACAAUGGGGGCAACCCUGAUCCAGCAAUGCCGCGUGUGUGAAGAAGGCCUUCGGGUUGUAAAGCACUUUUGUCCGGAAAGAAAUCGCACUUACUAAUAUUAGGUGUGGAUGAC
rnacentral:rRNA from 1 species